UGAGGAAUAUUGGUCAAUGGGCGCAGGCCUGAACCAGCCAAGUAGCGUGAAGGAUGACUGCCCUAUGGGUUGUAAACUUCUUUUAUAAAGGAAUAAAGUCGGGUAUGCAUACCCGUUUGCAUGUACUUUAUGAAUAAGGAUCGGCUAACUCCGUG
rnacentral:rRNA from 1 species